UACGUAGGGGGCGAGCGUUGUCCGGAGUUACUGGGCGUAAAGCGCACGCAGGCGGUUCGCCAAGUUUGGAGUGACAGUUGUCGGCUCAACCGACAAAGGACUUCAAAAACUGGUGAACUUGAGGACGAGAGAGGAACAUGGAACUCCAGGUGUAGUAGUGAAAUGCGUAGAUAUCUGGAAGAACACCAAUGGCGAAGGCAAUGUUCUGGCUCGUUUCUGACGCUCAGGUGCGAAAGCCAGGGGAGCGAACGGG
rnacentral:rRNA from 1 species